UNGGUUUAGUUUAAUACCUGGGAAGCCUC
rnacentral:piRNA from 1 species